rnacentral:rRNA from 1 species
UACGUAGGGUGCAAGCGUUGUCCGGAUUUAUUGGGCGUAAAGAGCUCGUAGGCGGCUUGUCGCGUCGUCCGUGAAAACUCGGGGCUCAACCCCGAGCUUGCGGUCGAUACGGGCAGGCUCGAGUUCGGUAGGGGAGACUGGAAUUCCUGGUGUAGCGGUGAAAUGCGCAGAUAUCAGGAGGAACACCGGUGGCGAAGGCGGGUCUCUGGGCCGAUGACUGACGCUGAGGAGCGAAAGCGUGGGGAGCGAACAGG